rnacentral:rRNA from 1 species
CAAAGAUUCAUCGCUAUGGGAUGGGGAUGCGUCUGAUUAGCUUGUUGGCGGGGUAACGGCCCACCAAGGCAACGAUCAGUAGGGGUUCUGAGAGGAAGGUCCCCCACAUUGGAACUGAGACACGGUCCAAACUCCUACGGGAGGCAGCAGUGAGGAAUAUUGGUCAAUGGGCGGAAGCCUGAACCAGCCAAGUAGCGUGAGGGAUGACUGCCCUAUGGGUUGUAAACCUCUUUUAUAAGGGAAUAAAAUACGGGACGUGUCCUGUUUUGCAUGUACCUUAUGAAUAAGGACCGGCUAAUUCCGUGCCAGCAGCCGCGGUAAUACGGAAGGUCCGGGCGUUAUCCGGAUUUAUUGGGUUUAAAGGGAGCGCAGGCGGUCUUAUAAGCGUGACGUGAAAUGCAGCGGCUCAACCGUAUGAUGUGCGUCGCGAACUGUGAGACUUGAGUGUAUUCGAUGUCAGCGGAAUUUGUGGUGUAGCGGUGAAAUGCUUAGAUAUCACGAAGAACUCCGAUUGCGAAGGCAGCUGACAAGGCUACAACUGACGCUAAAGCUCGAAAGUGCGGGUAUCGAACAGGAUUAGAUACCCUGGUAGUCCGCACGGUAAACGAUGGAUGCCCGGUGUUGCGAUAUACAGUGAGCGCCCAAGCGAAAGCGUUA